UACGGAGGGUGCAAGCAUUGAUCGGAAUUACUGGGCGUAAAGGGCGCGUAGGCGGCGAGAUAAGUCAGAUGUGAAAUUCCGGGGCUCAACCCCGGAGCUGCAUUUGGAACUGUCUGGCUAGAGUUCAGUUAGGGUAAACGGAAUUCCACGUGGAGCGGUGAAAUGCGGAGAUAUGUGGAAGAACACCGGUGGUGAAGACGGUUUACUGGGCUGAUACUGACGCUGAGGCGCGAAAGCAUGGGGAGCAAACAGG
rnacentral:rRNA from 1 species